AGUGAACGCUGGCGGUAGGCCUAACACAUGCAGGUCGAACGGCAGCACAGUAAGAGCUUGCUCUUACGGGUGGCGAGUGGCGGACGGGUGAGGAAUACAUCGGAAUCUACUUUUUCGUGGGGGAUAACGUAGGGAAACUUACGCUAUACCGCAUACGACCUACGGGUGAAAGCAGGGGAUCUUCGGACCUUGCGCGAUUGAAUGAGCCGAUGUCGGAUUAGCUAGUUGGCGGGGUAAAGGCCCACCAAGGCGACGAUCCGUAGCUGGUCUGAGAGGAUGAUCAGCCACACUGGAACUGAGACACGGUCCAGACUCCUACGGGAGGCAGCAGUGGGGAAUAUUGGACAAUGGGCGCAAGCCUGAUCCAGCCAUACCGCGUGGGUGAAGAAGGCCUUCGGGUUGUAAAGCCCUUUUGUUGGGAAAGAAAAGCAGCAGGUUAAUACCCCGCUGUUCUGACGGUACCCAAAGAAUAAGCACCGGCUAACUUCGUG
rnacentral:rRNA from 1 species